AUUGAACGCUGGCGGCAUGCCUUACACAUGCAAGUCGAACGGCAGCACGGGAGCUUGCUCCUGGUGGCGAGUGGCGAACGGGUGAGUAAUACAUCGGAACGUACCCUGAAGUGGGGGAUAACGUAGCGAAAGUUACGCUAAUACCGCAUAUUCUGUGAGCAGGAAAGAGGGGGAUCGCAAGACCUCUUGCUUUAGGAGCGGCCGAUGUCGGAUUAGCUAGUUGGUGAGGUAAAGGCUCACCAAGGCGACGAUCCGUAGCGGGUCUGAGAGGAUGAUCCGCCACACUGGGACUGAGACACGGCCCAGACUCCUACGGGAGGCAGCAGUGGG
rnacentral:rRNA from 1 species